GGUGACAGUAGCUCAGCGGUAGAGCCCCGGGUUGUGGUCCCGGUUGUCGUGGGUUCAAAUCCCAUCUGUCACCC
rnacentral:tRNA from 1 species